UGGGGAAUAUUGGACAAUGGGCGCAAGCCUGAUCCAGCCAUGCCGCGUGAGUGAUGAAGGCCUUAGGGUUGUAAAGCUCUUUUGUCCGGGAAGAUAAUGACUGUACCGGAAGAAUAAGCCCCGGCUAACUUCGUGCCAGCAGCCGCGGUAAUACGAAGGGGGCUAGCGUUGCUCGGAAUCACUGGGCGUAAAGGGCGCGUAGGCGGACUUUUAAGUCGGAGGUGAAAGCCCAGGGCUCAACCCUGGAAUUGCCUUCGAUACUGGGAGUCUUGAGUUCGGAAGAGGUUGGUGGAACUGCGAGUGUAGAGGUGAAAUUCGUAGAUAUUCGCAAGAACACCGGUGGCGAAGGCGGCCAACUGGUCCGAAACUGACGCUGAGGCGCGAAAGCGUGGGGAGCAAACA
rnacentral:rRNA from 1 species